rnacentral:rRNA from 1 species
AGAGUGAACGCUGGCGGCAGGCCUAACACAUGCAAGUCGAACGGCAGCACAGAGGAGCUUGCUCCUUGGGUGGCGAGUGGCGGACGGGUGAGGAAUACAUCGGAAUCUGCCUUAUCGUGGGGGAUAACGUAGGGAAACUUACGCUAAUACCGCAUACGACCUACGGGUGAAAGCGGAGGACCUUCGGGCUUCGCGCGAUAAGAUGAGCCGAUGUCGGAUUAGCUAGGUUGGACGGGGUAAACGGACCCAACCGAAGGCUACGAGUCCGUAGCUGGUCUGAGAGGAUGAUCAGCCGACACUGGAACUGAGACGACGUCCAGACCUCCUACGGGAGGCAGCAGUGGGAAUAUUGGACAGUGGCG